rnacentral:rRNA from 1 species
CCUACGGGUGGCAGCAGUGGGGAAUAUUGGACAAUGGGGGCAACCCUGAUCCAGCCAUGCCGCGUGUGUGAAGAAGGCCCUCGGGUUGUAAAGCACUUUCAGUGAGGAAGAACGCCUGGUGGUUAAUACCCAUCAGGAAAGACAUCACUCACAGAAGAAGCACCGGCUAACUCCGUGCCAGCAGCCGUGGUAAUACGGAGGGUGCGAGCGUUAAUCGGAAUUACUGGGCGUAAAGCGCGCGUAGGUGGCUUGAUAAGCCGGUUGUGAAAGCCCCGGGCUCAACCUGGGAACGGCAUCCGGAACUGUCAAGCUAGAGUGCAGGAGAGGAAGGUAGAAUUCCCGGUGUAGCGGUGAAAUGCGUAGAGAUCGGGAGGAAUACCAGUGGCGAAGGCGGCCUUCUGGACUGACACUGACACUGAGGUGCGAAAGCGUGGGUAGCAAACAGGAUUAGAUACCCGGGUAGUC